UAUUAUGAGAGUUUGAUCCUGGCUCAGGACGAACGCUGGCGGCGUGCCUAAUACAUGCAAGUCGAACGCUUCUUUCCUCCCGAGUGCUUGCACUCAAUUGGAAAGAGGAGUGGCGGACGGGUGAGUAACACGUGGGUAACCUACCCAUCAGAGGGGGAUAACACUUGGAAACAGGUGCUAAUACCGCAUAACAGUUUAUGCCGCAUGGCAUAAGAGUGAAAGGCGCUUUCGGGUGUCGCUGAUGGAUGGACCCGCGGUGCAUUAGCUAGUUGGUGAGGUAACGGCUCACCAAGGCCACGAUGCAUAGCCGACCUGAGAGGGUGAUCGGCCACACU
rnacentral:rRNA from 1 species